UACGGAGGGGGCUAGCGUUGUUCGGAAUUACUGGGCGUAAAGCGCGCGUAGGCGGCUUUGUAAGUUAGAGGUGAAAGCCCGGAGCUCAACUCCGGAAUUGCCUUUAAGACUGCAUCGCUAGAAUCAUGGAGAGGUGAGUGGAAUUCCGGGUGUAGAGGUGAAAUUCGUAGAUAUUCGGAAGAACACCAGUGGCGAAGGCGACUCACUGGGCCGAUACUGACGCUGAGGAGCGAAAGCGUGGGGAGCGAACAGG
rnacentral:rRNA from 1 species